CCUACGGGUGGCAGCAGUAGGGAAUUUUCGUCAAUGGGCGCAAGCCUGAACGAGCGAUGCCGCGUGAGUGAAGAAGGUCUACGGUUCGUAAAGCUCUGUUGCGGGGGAAAAAAGGCAGCAUCAGGAAAUGGGUGCUGACUGAUGGUGCCCCGCCAGAAAGUCACGGCUAACUACGUGCCAGAAGCCGCGGUAAUGCGUAGGUGGCGAGCGUUAUCCGGAUUGAUUGGGCGUAAAGGGUGCGCAGGCGGUCCUGCAAGUCUGGAGUGAAACGCAUGAGCUCAACUCAUGCAUGGCUGUGGAAACUGGAGGACUGGAGAGGAGGAGAGGGCGGUGGAACGCGAGGUGUAGCGGUAAAAUGCGUAGAUAUAUGGAAGAACACCAGUGGCGAAGGCGGCAGGCUGGCUUGUUGCUGACGCUGAGGCACGAAAGCGUGGGGAGCGAACAGGAUUAGAUACCCGGGUAGUC
rnacentral:rRNA from 1 species